GACGAACGCUGGCGGCGUGCUUAACACAUGCAAGUCGAACGGUAAGGCCCUUCGGGGUACACGAGUGGCGAACGGGUGAGUAACACGUGGGUGAUCUGCCCUGCACUUCGGGAUAAGCCUGGGAAACUGGGUCUAAUACCGGAUAGGACCACUGCCUGCAUGGGUGGUGGUGGAAAGCUUUUGCGGUGUGGGAUGGGCCCGCGGCCUAUCAGCUUGUUGGUGGGGUGAUGGCCUACCAAGGCGACGACGGGUAGCCGGCCUGAGAGGGUGACCGGCCACACUGGGACUGAGAUACGGCCCAGACUCCUACGGGAGGCAGCAGUGGGGAAGAUUGCACAAUGGGCGCAAGCCUGAUGCAGCGACGCCGCGUGAGGGAUGACGGCCUUCGGGUUGUAAACCUCUUUCAGCACCGACGAAGCGCAAGUGACGGUAGGUGCAGAAGAAGGACCGGCCAACCACGUGCCAGCCGCCGCAGUAAAAC
rnacentral:rRNA from 1 species